UACGAAGGGGGCUAGCGUUGCUCGGAAUUACUGGGCGUAAAGGGCGCGUAGGCGCCUUCUAAGUCGAACGUGAAAUCCCCGGGCUCAACCCGGGAACUGCGUCCGAUACUGGAAGGCUUGAAUCCGGGAGAGGGAUGCGGAAUUCCAGGUGUAGCGGUGAAAUGCGUAGAUAUCGGGAGGAACACCGGUGGCGAAGGCGGUUCUCUGGGCCUUACCUGACGCUGAGGAGCGAAAGCGUGGGGAGCGAACAGG
rnacentral:rRNA from 1 species